rnacentral:rRNA from 1 species
CAAUAGCGUAUAUUAAAGUUGUUGCGGUUAAAAAGCUCGUAGUUGGAUUUCUGUCGAAAACAACCGGUCCGCUCUAUGAGCGUGUAUCUGGUCUGGUUUUGGCAUCCUCGUGGGGAACAGCUCUGUGCUUGAUUGCAUGGACUGGUAUUCACGACUUUUACUUUGAGGAAAUUAGAGUGUUUCAAGCAGGCACACGCCUUGAAUACAUUAGCAUGAAAUAAUAAGAUAGGACCUUGGUUCUAUUUUGUUGGUUUCUAGAGCUGAGGUAAUGAUUAAUAGGGAUAGUUGGGGGCAUUCGUAUUUAACUGUCAGAGGUGAAAUUCUUGGAUUUGUUAAAGACGAACGACUGCGAAAGCAUUUGCCAAGGAUGUUUUCAUUGAUCAAGAACGAAAGUUAGGGGAUCGAAGACGAUUAGAUACCGU